CGUCGAUGUUUAUAGGGAUACACAUUGGUUAAUAUUGCCUUUAUUGCGUUUAAGUCCUGAUCCGAGGUCUUUGAGUGCAUCCAUCUUGUAGCGCCUUUGUCAUCGAUAUCGAUGUAAAAAGCCAUCCAAGUUGUUAGAGGACAUAUAGAACAGUAAAAUGCCGCACUCCAUAGUUCAGACAACUGAUGCAAGAGGAAAUGCCGAGCUAUAUAUAGUUCCAGAGGGCUGGAUACAGGAAACAAGCCGAGGCAAAUAAUAUCAUCUUUGGCCAAAAUAUAAAAACAAACGCCAUCUUCAACAAAUGGUUAGCGAUGGGAAUCGCACGGGCAAUCCCAACUGGGAGAAGAUUAAGUCGUGAAAAAAGAACAUCUGGACGAUAGAAGAUGCGGAGCAACUGGUAAUUGCUAUGAGUGAUGAAAAUAACUCUGAUUUUAGCAUCACAUCCUUACCUACAUCAGAUGGUAUAAAAAGAGCUAACUUUGAAAGCUUAAUGGUGAUAGAUUAUGUUAAAAAUUAAACUACAGAAGCUGUUGAAGAAAAUCGAUGGUCUAAAUAGUCUAUAGAAUGGUUUCAUGACAACGAUGCACAUGAUGCAGUUGAAUCGAUAAACGGCUCGGUAUCAUCACUAUAUUCAACCCAUGGCAACGAAACUAAAGUGGCUGUAGAAGAAAAUCAAUCUGCAAAAUACUCUACAGAAGAAUGGCUUCUUAAAAUUGACGCAAAUGAUGAAUGUGAUACGAUAAAUGACUCGGUAGCAACAGUAUGCUCAAGCCAUGGCUAUCAAAUGUUUGCAGAUAUGGACGAUGCUAAUGCACAAUACCCUCAUUCAUAUAUCCCCUGUGAUCCAAAUAACUUAGUAAAAAGUAAUCAUCUGCCCAUAAAUGAAAACAACAAUGUUCCUAAACAAACACAAAGCCGAAAAGGAGACUAUGACCAUACCAUACCAUACUCAGCAACUAAACGAAAUAGAUAACAGGCUUUCAAGAAUCGAAAAGAUGCAAGCAACUCUUAUCACCCAAAUGAAUAAUUUGCUUGAUAAGAUCUGUCCUCGUGUGCCUCCACAUCUAAAAGAAAAGCAUGCUAAUAUUAAAACUAUAAAAACUUUGGAUGAUCUCGAAAAACUUGGAAUUUGGCUAGAUUUUUUGAUAUCGGAACAAAUCAGUCAUAAUAGAUUGAUACAAGCAUUUGACAUUCUAUUUGACAAAAGCAUUUUAAAGAAAUAUAGUUGGACAGGUGUAGGUAGAACUGGGAGCAAGAUGCAGUUUCAAUCAUAUCAAAAUAUUGUUAACCUUUUUAAAGAAAUGAUGAGUAUGAAUUAUAAAGUAGACACUAAUGAUGAACAACUUUAUUUGAAUGCAGUUGCAAACUUUAUCAAGGAUUCGUUAAA